UACAGAGGGUGCAAGCGUUGUUCGGAAUUAUUGGGCGUAAAGAGCGCGCAGGCGGUCGAUCAAGUCGCGUGUGAAAAGCCCCCGGCUCAACUGGGGAGGGUCACGCGAUACUGAUCGACUCGAAGGCAGGAGAGGGUAGUGGAAUUCCCGGUGUAGCGGUGAAAUGCGCAGAUAUCAGGAGGAACACCGGUGGCGAAGGCGGCUUGCUGGGCCAGUUCUGACGCUGAGGAGCGAAAGCGUGGGGAGCGAACAGG
rnacentral:rRNA from 1 species